rnacentral:lncRNA from 1 species
ACCAAAUGGUUGAAAGCAAACUCAACUUGUACCAAGGUCAAGUCCCACUACUUUGAUCAUUCAACAGCAAGGCUCCUCAAUAGGUUCUCCUGGCUUUCGUUAACAAACUCAGUCUAAUCAUUCAUCUUAGGGUGAUAAGCUAAGCUGAACUGCAGAAAUGUAUCCAACCUUUUUCAUAGACUCCUCUAGAAGUGGCUCAUAAACUUUGUAUCUUGGUCUGAUAUAAUAGUCUUGGGCAC